rnacentral:rRNA from 1 species
AGUAGAACGCACAGGAUGCACCGUAGUUUACUACCACCGUAUUCUGUGAGUUGCGAACGGGUGAGUAACGCGUAGGUAACCUGCCUGGUAGCGGGGGAUAACUAUUGGAAACGAUAGCUAAUACCGCAUAAGAACAUUUACUGCAUGGUAGAUGUUUAAAAGGUGCAAAUGCAUCACUACCGGAUGGACCUGCGUUGUAUUAGCUAGUAGGUGAGGUAACGGCUCACCUAGGCGACGAUACAUAGCCGACCUGAGAGGGUGAUCGGCCACACUGGGACUGAGACACGGCCCAGACUCCUACGGGAGGCAGCAGUAGGGAAUCUUCGGCAAUGGGGGGAACCCUGACCGAGCAACGCCGCGUGAGUGAAGAAGGUUUUCGGAUCGUAAAGCUCUGUUGUUAAGGAAGAACGAGUGUGAGAAUGGAAAGUUCAUACUGUGACGGUACUUAACCAGAAAGGGACGGCUAACUACGUGCCAGCAGCCGCGGUAAUACGUAGGUCCCGAGCGUUGUCCGGAUUUAUUGGGCGUAAAGCGAGCGCAGGCGGUUAGAUAAGUCUGAAGUUAAAGGCAGUGGCUCAACCAUUGUAGGCUUUGGAAACUGUUUAACUUGAGUGCAGAAGGGGAGAGUGGAAUUCCAUGUGUAGCGGUGAAAUGCGUAGAUAUAUGGAGGAACGCCGGUGGCGAAAGCGGCUCUCUGGUCUGUAACUGACGCUGAGGCUCGAAAGCGUGGGGAGCGAACAGGAUUAGAUACCCUGGUAGUCCACGCCGUAAACGAUGAGUGCUAGGUGUUAGGUCCUUUCCGGGACUUAGUGCCGCAGCUAACGCAUUAAGCACUCCGCCUGGGGAGUACGACCGCAAGGUUGAAACUCAAAGGAAUUGACGGG